GGUUGUCUUCUGUGGUUUCAUUGCU
rnacentral:piRNA from 1 species